rnacentral:rRNA from 1 species
CCUACGGGGCGCUGCAGUGGGGAAUAUUGGACAAUGGGCGAAAGCCUGAUCCAGCCAUGCCGCGUGUGUGAAGAAGGCCUUCGGGUUGUAAAGCACUUUCAGUGGGGAAGAAAGCCUUGGGGCUAAUACCCUCGAGGAAGGACAUCACCCACAGAAGAAGCACCGGCUAACUCCGUGCCAGCAGCCGCGGUAAUACGGAGGGUGCGAGCGUUAAUCGGAAUUACUGGGCGUAAAGCGCGCGUAGGCGGUCUGAUAAGCCGGUUGUGAAAGCCCCGGGCUCAACCUGGGAACGGCAUCCGGAACUGUCAGGCUAGAGUGCAGGAGAGGAAGGUAGAAUUCCCGGUGUAGCAGUGAAAUGCGUAGAGAUCGGGAGGAAUACCAGUGGCGAAGGCGGCCUUCUGGACUGACACUGACGCUGAGGUGCGAAAGCGUGGGUAGCAAACAGGAUUAGAUACCCGGGUAGUC